UACGUAGGGUGCGAGCGUUCAUCGGAAUUACUGGGCGUAAAGCGUGCGCAGGCGGUUCGUUAAGUCAGCUGUGAAAGCCCCGGGCUCAACCUGGGAAUUGCGGUUGAAACUGGCGAACUAGAAUCUGGCAGAGGGGGGUGGAAUUCCACGUGUAGCAGUGAAAUGCGUAGAGAUGUGGAGGAACACCGAUGGCGAAGGCAGCCCCCUGGGCUGAGAUUGACGCUCAGGCACGAAAGCGUGGGGAGCAAACAGG
rnacentral:rRNA from 1 species